CCUACGGGAGGCAGCAGUGGGGAAUAUUGGACAAUGGGCGCAAGCCUGAUCCAGCCAUGCCGCGUGUGUGAUGAAGGCCUUAGGGUUGUAAAGCUCUUUUACCCGGGAUGAUAAUGACAGUACCGGGAGAAUAAGCUCCGGCUAAAUCCGUGCCAGCAGCCGCGGUAAU
rnacentral:rRNA from 1 species